UGAACGCUGGCGGCGUGCUUAACACAUGCAAGUCGAACGAACCUUCGGGUUAGUGGCGGACGGGUGAGUAACGCGUGGGAAUCUGCCCUCAGGAGGGGGAUAACGGUUGGAAACGGCCGCUAAUACCCCAUAUGCCGAGAGGUGAAAUGAAUUUCGCCUGAGGAUGAGCCCGCGUCUGAUUAGCUAGUUGGUGAGGUAAGAGCUCACCAAGGCAUCGAUCAGUAGCUGGUCUGAGAGGAUGAUCAGCCACACUGGGACUGAGACACGGCCCAGACUCCUACGGGAGGCAGCAGUGGGGAAUUUUCCGCAAUGGGCGAAAGCCUGACGGAGCAACGCCGCGUGAGGGAUGAAGGCCUCUGGGCUGUAAACCUCUUUUAUCAAGGAAGAAGAUCUGACGGUACUUGAUGAAUAAGCCACGGC
rnacentral:rRNA from 1 species